GCAAACUUGGUCAUUUAGAGGAAGUAAAAGUCGUAACAAGGUCUCCGUAGGUGAACCUGCGGAGGGAUCAUUACUGAGUGAGGGCCUUCGGGCUCGACCUCCAACCCUUUGUGAACCAAACUUGUUGCUUCGGGGGCGACCCUGCCGGCAUUCGUCAGCGGGCGCCCCCGGAGGCCAUCAAACACUGCAUCUAUGCGUCGGAGUUUAAAUUCAAUUAAACAAAACUUUCAACAACGGAUCUCUUGGUUCUGGCAUCGAUGAAGAACGCAGC
rnacentral:misc_RNA from 1 species